UACGUAGGGGGCAAGCGUUGUCCGGAUUUAUUGGGCGUAAAGAGCGUGUAGGCGGCCAGACAGGUCCGUUGUGAAAACUGGAGGCUUAACCUUCAGACGUCGAUGGAAACCGUCGGGCUAGAGUCCGGAAGAGGAGAGUGGAAUUCCUGGUGUAGCGGUGAAAUGCGCAGAUAUCAGGAAGAACACCCGUGGCUAAGGCGGCUCUCUAGUACGGUACUGACGCUGAGACGCGAAAGCGUGGGGAGCGAACAGG
rnacentral:rRNA from 1 species